ACUUAUUACCUCCGCCAGGAGGUUAUGUAAUCAUCUGGGUUUUUACCUCCGCCAGGAGGUUAUGUAAUCAUCUGGGUUUGUAUGUGUGUGUGUAUGUGUGUGUGUGUAUGUGUGUGUGUGUGUGUGUGUGUGUGUAUGUGUGUGUGUUUGUCUGUGAGCACGAUAACUCAAGAAAUACCAAACAUAUCCGUACGAAAUUUUGU